rnacentral:lncRNA from 1 species
UUCCAUAUACAUGUAUUUUUUCUGAAAAAUUGCCAUGUACGCAUUUUUAUUCUUCAUAUUUUUGGUCACCUACUAAAGGAAAAAAAAGGAGGAAAUGGAACCCGGCAUUAUUAAAACUGUUAUACAUAUAUGCAUUACGCACAUAUGUGCCUUUCUUUGUAACGCUGACACACGCUCACAUCUUUUACGUUACUUUGUACAAAGUGCGCACCUGAUUGUACGUGGAACGAUAAUGCUCUCGUCUAUAACCAAUGCCGAUUCUAUUAGGCAGGCUUCAACAGGCUGAAGCAUGUCCUUCGAAAUUAAAAUUCAGUCUAUCCCAACCCAUUCCAGCCUAGUUUUAGCCCAUCUUAUUUCAGAUUCAUCCUUUGCACUGAAGUUGGGUCUAUCCUUCAAAUUCGUCAUAGAUUCGCCACUGCUAUAGCCUAGUUGCUUUGAUUUGUCUCACACACAAAAAAAACCCAGUUGCUUUGGUUCUGGUUUCUAUAGAUACGAAGAGAGGCGCAGAAGCAGUGCAACGUGUACAGGUUGCAAUGUCCCGUCCAAAAUGGGGGAAGAGAAAUGCGCAUUCCUCGCCACCGGAAGCUUCCUGACGGCAAGAAUGUGAUCCUCGUGCCGAAGUGGUGGGGAUCAAAGCCGACCGUGGUAAAGUGAGUUC